rnacentral:rRNA from 1 species
UACGUAGGGUCCGAGCGUUGUCCGGAGUUACUGGGCGUAAAGCGCGCGUAGGCGGCUAGAUCAGUCUGCUGUAAAAGUCAAAGGCUCAACCUUUGAAAGCCGGUGGAUACUGUCUAGCUAGAGUCCGGAAGAGGCGAGUGGAAUUCCUGGUGUAGCGGUGGAAUGCGCAGAUAUCAGGAGGAACACCAACGGCGAAGGCAGCUCGCUGGGACGGUACUGACGCUAAGGCGCGAAAGCGUGGGAGCGAACAGG